rnacentral:rRNA from 1 species
GACGAACGCUGGCGGCGUGCUUAACACAUGCAAGUCGAACGGAAAGGCCCUGCUUUUGUGGGGUGCUCGAGUGGCGAACGGGUGAGUAACACGUGAGUAACCUGCCCUUGACUUUGGGAUAACUUCAGGAAACUGGGGCUAAUACCGGAUAGGAGCUCCUGCUGCAGGGUGGGGGUUGGAAGGUUUCGGCGGUUGGGGAUGGACUCGCGGCUUAUCAGCUUGUUGGUGUGGUAGUGGCUUACCAAGGCUUUGACGGGUAGCCGGCCUGAGAGGGUGACCGGCCACAUUGGGACUGAGAUACGGCCCAGACUCCUACGGGAGGCAGCGGUGGGGAAUAUUGUACAAUGGGCGGAAGCCGAAUGCAGCAAAGCCGCGUGCGGGAUGACGGCCUGCGGUUUGUAAACCGCUUUCGCCUGUGACGAAGCGUGAGUGACGGUAAUGGGUAAAGAAGCACCGGCUAACUACGUG